UGGGGAAUUUUGGACAAUGGGGGAAACCCUGAUCCAGCCAUCCCGCGUGUGCGAUGAAGGCCUUCGGGUUGUAAAGCACUUCUGGCAGGAAAGAAACGUCAUGGGUUAAUACCCCGUGAAACUGACGGUACCUGCAGAAUAAGCACCGGCUAACUACGUGCCAGCAGCCGCGGUUAUUCGUAGGGUGCAAGCGUUAAUCGGAAUUACUGGGCGUAAAGCGUGCGCAGGCGGUUCGGAAAGGAAGAUGUGAAAUCCCAGAGCUCAACUUUGGAACUGCAUUUUUAACUACCGGGGUAGGGUGUGUCAGAGGGGGGUGGAAUUCGGCGUGUAGCAGUGAAAUGCGUAGAUAUGCGGAGGAACACCGAUGGCGAAGGCAGCCUCCUGGGAUAACACUGACGCUGAUGCACGAAAGCGUGGGGAGCAAACAGG
rnacentral:rRNA from 1 species